UACGUAGGGGGCAAGCGUUGUCCGGAAUUACUGGGCGUAAAGCGUGCGCAGGCGGUCUUUUAAGUCAGAUGUGAAAUCCCCGGGCUUAACCUGGGAACUGCGUUUGAAACUGGAAGGCUAGAGUGUGGCAGAGGGGGGUGGAAUUCCACGUGUAGCAGUGAAAUGCGUAGAGAUGUGGAGGAACACCGAUGGCGAAGGCAGCCCCCUGGGCUAACACUGACGCUCAUGCACGAAAGCGUGGGGAGCAAACAGG
rnacentral:rRNA from 1 species